rnacentral:rRNA from 1 species
ACAGGUGGUCAGGUAGAGAAUACUCAGGCGCUUGAGAGAACUCGGGUGAAGGAACUAGGCAAAAUGGUGCCGUAACUUCGGGAGAAGGCACGCUGGCAUUAGGUAAAGGGACUUGCUCCCGGCGCCGAAGCCAGUCGCAGAUACCAGCUGGCUGCAACUGUUUAAUAAAAACACAGCACUGUGCAAACACGAAAGUGGACGUAUACGGUGUGACGCCUGCCCGGUGCUGGAAGGUUAAUUGAUGGGGUCAGCCGCAAGGCGAAGCUCUUGAUCGAAGCCCCAGUAAACGGCGGCCGUAACUAUAACGGUCCUAAGGUAGCGAAAUUCCUUGUCGGGUAAGUUCCGACCUGCACGAAUGGCGUAAUGAUGGCCAGGCUGUCUCCACCCGAGACUCAGUGAAAUUGAACUCGCUGUGAAGAUGCAGUGUACCCGCGGCAAGACGGAAAGACCCCGUGAACCUUUACUAUAGCUUGACACUGAACAUUGAGCCUUGAUGUGUAGGAUAGGUGGGAGGCAUAG